GGCCGACUAGCUCAGCUGGUUAGAGCGUCGUGCUAAUACAAAUACAUUGUUAACGCGAAGGUCUUGGGUUCGAUCCCCACGUUGGCCA